rnacentral:rRNA from 1 species
UGAACGCUAGCUACAGGCUUAACACAUGCAAGUCGAGGGGCAGCAGACGAUAGCUUGCUAUGUUGCUGGCGACCGGCGCACGGGUGAGUAACGCGUAUCCAACCUUCCCCAUAGUAGAGGAUAGCCCGGCGAAAGUCGGAUUAAUACUCUAUGUUGUGUUUUUGAGGGCAUCUGACUAACACUAAAGAUUUAUUGCUAUGGGAUGGGGAUGCGUCUGAUUAGCUUGUCGGCGGGGUAACGGCCCACCGAGGCGACGAUCAGUAGGGUUCUGAGAGGAAGGUCCCCCACAUUGGUACUGAGACACGGACCAAACUCCUACGGGAGGCAGCAGUGAGGAAUAUUGGUCAAUGGGCGUGAGCCUGAACCAGCCAAGUAGCGUUGCAGGAUGACUGCCCUAUGGGUUGUAAACUGCUUUUAUAGGGGAAUAAAGUGCGGAACGUGUUCCGUUUUGUAUGUACCCUAUGAAUAAGGACCGGCUAAUUCCGUGCCAGCAGCCGC